rnacentral:sRNA from 1 species
AUUCCAUUGUAUGCAUAAUAUAUCUGUCUUUAUCCACUCACAUAUUUAAGUGCCUUAAGGUCGUUUGCAUGUCUUUGCUACUGUACAUUGUGCUACUAUAAACACUGUUUUGCGUAUCACUUUUCUGAUGGGAGUUUUCAUCUUAAUGGAUAUAUGCCCAGUAGUGUUAUUUUUGGAUCAUAUAGUAACUGUAUUUUUAGAGUAUUAAAAAACUCUAUACAAGGGAAGGAGAUAAUGGGCAGGUGGUUCAAAAGGAAGGAAUAUAUGUAUACAUAUGGCUGAUUCAUGUUGAGGUUUGAAAGAAAGCAACA